rnacentral:rRNA from 1 species
AUUGAACGCUGGCGGCAUGCUUUACACAUGCAAGUCGAACGGUAACAGGUUAAGCUGACGAGUGGCGAACGGGUGAGUAAUGCAUCGGAACGUGCCCGGUCGUGGGGGAUAACGCAGCGAAAGCUGCGCUAAUACCGCAUACGAUCUAAGGAUGAAAGCGGGGGACCGUAAGGCCUCGCGCGAUCGGAGCGGCCGAUGUCAGAUUAGGUAGUUGGGGGGGUAAAGGCUCACCAAGCCAACGAUCUGUAGCUGGUCUGAGAGGACGACCAGCCACACUGGGACUGAGACACGGCCCAGACUCCUACGGGAGGCAGCAGUGGGGAAUUUUGGACAAUGGGCGAAAGCCUGAUCCAGCAAUGCCGCGUGCAGGAAGAAGGCCUUCGGGUUGUAAACUGCUUUUGUACGGAGCGAAAAGGUCUCCUCUAAUACAGGGGGCUCAUGACGGUACCGUAAGAAUAAGCACCGGCUAACUACGUGCCAGCAGCCGCAGUAA